AGAUUUCCUAGGUGAAGAUUUGGCUGAAUUCCUGGCGAUGAUUUUUUUGUGCGUGAGGUCCAACUCCAGUCAUAAGGAAGCAGAGUACCCAAAUACCCAUCGGUUCCCUAGUCACCUUCCCUGGCUGGUAAUCUCCUUGUACAUCUCCUUAUCAACCUCAAGACGACGCUUCAGUGAUCUUCACAUGCGACUCACGUGGACACCGCCUUGAUAAGAAAGCGGGUCGCCUUCGUCCUUCACUUCUUUACAACACGUCGAUACAAUGGCUUCAUUCCACAUCAGAUCCCUGCUCCCUGCUCCUUUGACACAGUCAACGUCAAUCAACGUCCGUCGGCUUCCAGAACAUACAUGCGUUAUCGAAUGUGGC